GGGAGCUGCUCCCUUAGGGUCAGCGGCGGACGGGUGAGUAACACGUGGGUAACCUGCCUGUAAGACUGGGAUAACUCCGGGAAACCGGGGCUAAUACCGGAUGCUUGAUUGAACCGCAUGGUUCAAUCAUAAAAGGUGGCUUUUAGCUACCACUUACAGAUGGACCCGCGGCGCAUUAGCUAGUUGGUGAGGUAACGGCUCACCAAGGCGACGAUGCGUAGCCGACCUGAGAGGGUGAUCGGCCACACUGGGACUGAGACACGGCCCAGACUCCUACGGGAGGCAGCAGUGGUCU
rnacentral:rRNA from 1 species